AUACGGAGGAUCCAAGCGUUAUCAGGAAUCAUUGGGUUUAAAGGGUCCGUAGGCGGGCAAUUAAGUCAGAGGUGAAAGUUUGCGGCUCAACCGUAAAAUUGCCUUUGAAACUGGUUGUCUCGAAUUAUUAUGAAGUGGUUAGAAUAAGUAGUGUAGCGGUGAAAUGCAUAGAUAUUACUUAGAAUACCAAUUGCGAAGGCAGAUCACUAAUAAUAUAUUGACGCUGAUGGACGAAAGCGUGGGGAGCGAACAGGAUUAGAAACCCUAGUAGUCC
rnacentral:rRNA from 1 species